rnacentral:rRNA from 1 species
CCUACGGGAGGCAGCAGUAGGGAAUUUUCCACAAUGGGCGAGAGCCUGAUGGAGCAACGCCGCGUGAUGGAUGAAGGCCUUAGGGUCGUAAACAUCUUUUCUCUGUGACGCGGUAGCAGAGGAAUAAGGGUCGGCUAACUACGUGCCAGCAGCCGCGGUCAUACGUAGGACCCAAGCGUUAUCCGGAUUUACUGGGCGUAAAGAGUGCGUAGGUGGUCUGUUAAGUAAAUAGUGAAAUCGUGUGGCUCAACCAUGCAUCCAUUAUUUAAACUGGCAGACUUGAGAGCGAGAGAGGUAGAUGGAAUUGCUAGUGUAGGAGUGGAAUCCGUAGAUAUUAGCAGGAACACCGAUGGCGUAGGCAGUCUACUGGCUCGUUCUGACACUAAGGCACGAAAGCGUGGGGAGCAAACAGGAUUAGAUACCCUUGUAGUC